rnacentral:rRNA from 1 species
CCUACGGGAGGCAGCAGUGGGGAAUUUUGGACAAUGGGCGAAAGCCUGAUCCAGCCAUUCCGCGUGAGUGAAGAAGGCCUUCGGGUUGUAAAGCUCUUUCGCAAGGGAAGAAAACUUAGAUACUAAUAUUAUCUGAGGUUGACGGUACCUUGAUAAGAAGCACCGGCUAACUACGUGCCAGCAGCCGCGGUAAUACGUAGGGUGCGAGCGUUAAUCGGAAUUACUGGGCGUAAAGCGUGCGCAGGCGGUUUUGUAAGUCAGAUGUGAAAUCCCCGAGCUCAACUUGGGAACUGCGUUUGAAACUACAAGACUAGAAUAUGUCAGAGGGGGGUAGAAUUCCACGUGUAGCAGUGAAAUGCGUAGAGAUGUGGAGGAAUACCAAUGGCGAAGGCAGCCCCCUGGGAUAAUAUUGACGCUCAUGCACGAAAGCGUGGGGAGCAAACAGGAUUAGAUACCCUGGUAGUCCACGCCCUAAACGAUGUCUACUAGUUGUUGGUGGAGUAAAAUCCAUGAGUAACGCAGCUAACGCGUGAAGUAGACCGCCUGGGGAGUACGGUCGCAAGAUUAAAACUCAAAGGAUUGACGG